UCUCUUCGCUUCGCCUGUCUGUAUUCUCUCUCCAUGUCUCUUCCAUGGCGAUCGCUGCGGAGACGACACUACAACAGAAGAAGCUAAAGAAGAAGGUUCAGGUUCACAAUUUUGAAAUCCCGAAGUUUCUUGUUUUGGUUCCAUUUUUGUUUCUAUUUAGGGUAUGAUUUUCUUCUUUCUCUGUUGUUUGUUUUUUCCUUGAUCUCUCGGCGUCUCUUCCAUGGCGAUCGCUACGGAGCCGACACGACAGCACGAUAAUCUGAGGUGUUUCGAGAAAUCCAUGCGAAUGUGGGUUUAGGGUCUUUUUCCUAUGAGAGACAAGGAGCGAGUAUCAAUGAAGCUGGUGCUGUAGUCUGACAGGUUGAAGUAUAGAAGGAGUUGGAGCGAAGGAGUGUAGGUAUUUCAGUACUUGAAAUCUGCAAACCCUUGGUUCUCAAGUUCAGAAUGCAAUCUCUCUUCGAGGAGGAUGUGGUCUUUAGUAUAAAUGACUUUCUCCCAGGAAUCCGCCUUCGUCCUGAAAUCAUGGUCGGUGAUUACAGGUUUAGACAACAUGGUUAUUAGAUUAUUGCCGGCUAAUAAAUAACGAUAUGACUCCUGAAGUUUGGAACCGGAGCUGUCUUACGUGGUUCUUUUCAGAAUGCAUCAAGCGGUGCGGUGUAAGUUCAGAAGGUAUACGUGAUCCUAACUUUAUGUUUUCUCAGUUCUUUGGACUGAGCACAUCGAAAUUGAUUUUUCUCUCUUUAUAAAAUGUACACCAACAUUUUACUGUCAACGCAAAGAUUGCCCUGUUGAGGUAAUCCAUCCGCUAGAAGAUUGCAAUGUCAAUUCUUCCCUAUCGUUCACUCUCCAGGUACUUUUUUUAAGUAACUGGUAAUGAAACUGGUGUGAAUUUUUGUCCUGAGCUCUUACUUCUUUCUGUUGCAAAUACGCCGAGUUGAAACAGCCCUUUUUCUUCAUAGAGACGAUGAAAUUAGCCUGUAAAAAAAUGCUCUAUUCUUCAUUCCAACAAAUGGAAAAAGCCCUUUCCCAGUAAUCUGCCUUUCGUCCUGAAAAAUGGUCGCUGAUUACAGGUUUACACAACAUGGUUAUUGGGUUAUUGCUGGCUAAUAAAUAACUUUAUGACUCCUGAAGUUUGGAGCCGGAGCUGUCUUACGUGGUCCUUUGCAGAAUGCAUCAAGCGGUGUGGUGUAAGUUCUGAAGAAUGUACACCAACAUUUUACCAUCAACGCAAAGUCUGUUGAGCUAAUCCAUCCGCAAUUCUUCCCUAUCGUUCACUCUCCAGAUACACCGAGUUGAAACAGCCCUUUUUCUUCAUAGAAACAAUGAAAUUAGCCUGUAAAAAAAUGCUCUAUUCUUCAUUCCAACAAAUGGAAAAAGCCCUUUUUUGAUCGUAUUUUAGUAGCUUUCUUGAGAUUGCUUUAACAUCUUGUGAUACAUAGAACACGAAAACAUCUACGCAUGUACAUAAUGUGUAUCUAGCGAAGACAUCUCCAAUUGAUUAUGGGACUUGUCUUUUCUAUAUAUAGUUCUUGUAGUAAUCUGUGUAGUGAUUGGUUCACUUGAGCACGCAUGACAGGCUUGUCAGUUGGAGUAUCGGUUACAGUGGAUGGUGGAAGUCUGAGCUCAGACUUGUAAACGGUUCAUGUAUAGCACCGGUGGUGGUACAGGUGGAACUGCACUUUAUUCUUGCAUACUCUUGAUAUAGGGAUGUUUGCUCUUUUCUCUAGCAUCGGAGGAAGUGGUAGUCUCAAUGGCAGUGGAGGAGGAAGCGAUGGAAGGAUUCAUUUCCAUUGGUCAGACAUUCCUACUGGAGAUGACUGUCAUCAUAUUGACGAAGUUAAGGGAAUAAUUUAUGUAAGAUACACCGAGUUGAAACAGCCCUUUUUCAUCAAAGAAAUGAUGAAAUUAGCCUGUAAAAAAAUGCUCUAUUCUUCAUUCCAACAAAGGGAAAAAGCCUUUUUCCCAGGAAUCCGCCUACCUCCUGAAAACAUGGUCGGUGAUUACAGGUUUAGACAACAUGGUUAUUAGGUUAUUACUGGCUAAUAAAUAACUUUUUGACUCGUUUGGAGCCGGAGCUGUCUUACAUGGUCCUUUGCAGAGUGCAUCAAGCGGUGCGGUGUAAGUUCUGAAGGUAUAAGUGAUAUAUGCAGAUGAUGUAUACGUAAGUGUAUUGCUAUUUUAUCUGAAUACAAAAAAGUACUAUUAGAACACAGAGCAGAUUGUCUUCUUGCACAUUUUAAGCGGUGUAAAGUCAAAGUGAGUGAAUUUCACGGACAGAAAUUAGAAGAACUAACAGGUAUGGUGUUUCACUUUCUUUUUGCUUUGAAGAAUACAAGAAAAUAGGGGAACGUAACAAUCGAUGAUUUUUGGUUUAAAAUGCAGGUUGCUACUACGCCAGAUUUAAUGUUAGGUUAUCUUUGUUUCUUCCUUGGCAGUGAUGAAAAGAGAACAAAUAUUCCUCCUCGGAUCUAUAAGAGAUUUCCCCUGGCUCUAAUAUUUGGAGGCGAUGGAAGUCACAUGGCCACAUUUCAUUUUGGAUAUGUGAUUCAAGCGGUUACAUUACUUUCAAUUAGAUCAUAUAGAAGGUUGUUUCUGAAAGCUGGUUGCAUUAAAUUUGAUGGACUUCUUUUCCAGUGCAGCUUUAGAGAGGCUUCAGCAGAUGUGCACAAGAGAUGGACUCUUAAGUGAUUUCGAUAUUUGGAAGCUUCUUGAAUCAGGAAAAUUCGGCCAUGUCUAUCUAGCGAGAGAGAAAACGAGUCAGUAUUAUUCGUUUAUAUUUUUCUCUCCCUUUGAAACAGUAUCCAUCACUUUAGUUCUCAUAGUUGAAAUCCUAAAGAUUCAUACCUUCUAAGGUUUGUUAUAUCUUUGAUUUCGUUACCGUGCUGACCUAGAUGUGCUUUAUGAUACGUCGCAAUGACGUUGUGGCUCCAAAAGUUCUGUUCAAGAGUCAACUUCAACAAUCUCAUGUUGAAAAUCAACUUCAGAGGGAAGUGGAAAUACAGUUUCAUCAUCUUUGGCAUCCCAAUAUAUUGCGGUUGUACGGUUAUUUAUACGAUCCGGUUUGCUUAACUCAUUUGGUAUUACUUGGUUGUUAAGAAAAGGUGACCUGACAUCUACGGUAUAUGUUCAAACGGCACUCUUCGGUUCUCAAGGUGUUCUGAUCACUAUCUCUCGUUAUGAUUGUUCUCCACUGUUUUGUUCUACCGUUGAAAUGUAUUUUCCCGUAUCCCUUUCUUUAGUUUAGGAGUCUUCUGUUAUACGUUCUAACGGCAAUCUUCGGGUACAUGGACAUGGUCUAUUGAAUCAGGCAGGUGGUAGAGACAUUGUCGAAGAGCAACAUCUGAUUUUACUUCUCAUUUACAACAUCCACGUAAGAAACUGUUUUAUGUUCUAAUUUCCGCAUGCAAGGCAGAAUUUGAUUGCUUAAGGACUUCAAGGAAAAAAGUUUAAAGAGUCUUGUAUUUUUUUGUGUAAUAGCAUAUAUUGGAUCGUGAUUGUGGCGUAUCCUUGGAAUCCGCCUUGCUGAUAUAUGCAUUGUUGGAAUUUGAUUGCUUAAAAACAUCUAGGAAAAGAUUUUAGAAAAAUCUUGAUUUUUUGUGUAAUAGUAUAAUAGGUUCAGACGACAUGGUUAUUACAGGUUAUUGAUGACUAAAAAAUAACUUAUGGCUCAUGAAGGUUCGAGCCGGAGCUGUCUUACGUGGUUUUACCUUUUUCCUGAAAAUUUACACCAGUAGGCGUUACUGUCAGGCGAAGAUUGCCCUGUUGAGCAAAUCCAUCCAUCGGAAGAUUGGAAUGUCAAUUCUUCUCGAUUGUUCACUCCCCCAAUGCUUUUUUUUCCAAGUAAUAGGUAAUGAAACUGUUGAUAUCUUUUUUUAUUCUAAGCUGCUGCUGCUUCUUUCUGUUGCAGAUAUGCCGAGUUUAAGAUAUCAAUGUCGAAGGUCUCAUCAAUAUCUGUUACUCAUUUUCACCUUGCAAGAACACUAGUUGUCAGCAUACUAGAUGGGUAAACACACACACACACACACACAUAUAUAUAUAUGUGUUGAUACUGUCUCCUUUUAUUUUGUGCGUGGUCAGUUUCCAAAAGUUAUACGUAUAGACAGUGGUUAUUUGUAUGGGAAUGCUGAUCUUCCAUGUGAAGUGGACACAAUGAUUCGAUUGAUUCAGUUGCUGGUGGGGGAAUCAUAGAUUUCCUGUUGUGCCCAUCCAUCCGCUAGAAGAUUGCAAUGUCAUUUCUUCCCUAUAUGGUUCACUCUCCUGGUACUUUUUUUUUCCUCCAAAGUAAUAGGAAAUGAAACUGGUGUGACAUUUUUGUCCUGAGCUCUUACUGAGACGACACGAAAACAUGAUAAGCUGAGGUGCUUCGAGAAAUCCAUGCGAAUAUGGGUUUAGGGUCUUUUUCCUAUGAGGUAUGGAUGAGACCGAGAAUUAGGGUUAUGAAAUUCUGAAAAUUUGUCUUCGUUAUGGAAUCUUGAUUCGCGAAGCCGGAUGAUGGAAUCAGAGACAAGGAGCGAGUAUCAAUGAAGCUGGUGCUGUAGUCUGACAGGUUGAAGUAUAGAAGGAGUUGGAGCGAAGGAGUAUAGGUAUUUCAGUGCUUGAAAUCUGCAAACCCUUGGUUCUCAAGGUAUUCCACUGAUCAGACAUUACUACCAGAGUAAAGAUUCAUUUCCAAUAGGGCAUCAUCCUAUUGCAAAGUAAAGGGAAGAAUUUUUAUAGGUUUUGUUUUACAAUGUUCUUUUUUUCCUGUUGCAUACAUUUACGUUUACAAAGUUUAUGCACAUGGACAUCGUUAAUAGAUUGAAAAAAGCUUUCAUGUUAUGUAUGACUUUAUGGCUUAUGUUGCGAGGUAGAGAUGCUCGUGUCUUUUUGGGUACAAGUUGAACUUGUUUUUUACAUCUGCUUUCUAGUUUUCUGAAUUCAGAUUUUCUUAUCAAAGAUUUGACUACAUUAGAUUUGACUUCAUCAAUAUAGAUUGAUGGAUCUAUAUUGAUGAAGUUCAUUGGAAAUGGAUUUCUUGAUGUUUUUUCUUGCAUUGCUCUCAAUGCAGUUCAGAAUGCAAUCUCUCUUCGAGGAGGAUGUGGUCUUUAGUAUAAAUGACUUUCUCCCAGGAAUCCGCCUUCGUCCUGAAAUCAUGGUCGGUGAUUACAGGUUUAGACAACAUGGUUAUUAGGUUAUUGCCGGCUAAUAAAUAACGAUAUGACUCCUGAAGUUUGGAACCGGAGCUGUCUUACGUGGUUCUUUUCAGAAUGCAUCAAGCGGUGCGGUGUAAGUUCAGAAGGUAUACGUGAUCCUAACUUUAUAUGUUCUCAGUUCUUUGGACUGAGCACGUCGAAAUUGAUUUUUCUCUCUCUUUAUAAAAUGUACACCAACAUUUUACUGUCAACGCAAAGAUUGCCCUGUUGAGGUAAUCCAUCCGCUAGAAGAUUGCAAUGUCAAUUCUUCCCUAUCGUUCACUCUCCAGGUACUUUUUUUAAGUAACUGGUAAUGAAACUGGUGUGAAUUUUUGUCCUGAGCUCUUACUUCUUUCUGUUGCAAAUACGCCGAGUUGAAACAGCCCUUUUUCUUCAUAGAGACGAUGAAAUUAGCCUGUAAAAAAAAUGCUCUAUUCUUCAUUCCAACAAAUGGAAAAAGCCCUUUCCCAGUAAUCCGCCUUUCGUCCUGAAAAAUGGUCGCUGAUUAUAGGUUUACACAACAUGGUUAUUGGGUUAUUUCUGGCUAAUAAAUAACUUUAUGACUCCUGCAGUUUGGAACCGGAGCUGUCUUACGUGGUCCUUUGCAGAAUGCAUCAAGCGGUGUGGUGUAAGUUCUGAAGAAUGUACACCAACAUUUUACCGUCAACGCAAAGUCUCUUGAGCUAAUCCAUCCGCAAUUCUUCCCUAUCGUUCACUCUCCAGGCUUGUCAGUUGGAGUAUCGGUUACAGUGGAUGGUGGAAGUCUGAGCUCAGACUUGUAAACGGUUCAUGUAUAGCACCGGUGGUGGUACAGGUGGAACUGCACUUUAUUCUUGCAUACUCUUGAUAUAGGGAUGUUUGUUUUUUUCUCUAGCAUCGGAGGAAGUGGUAGUCUCAAUGGCAGUGGAGGAGGAAGCGAUGGAAGGAUUCAUUUCCAUUGGUCAGACAUUCCUACUGGAGAUGACUGUCAUCAUAUUGACGAAGUUAAGGGAAUAAUUUAUAUACACCGAGUUGAAACGGCCCUUUUUCAUCAAAGAAAUGAUGAAAUUAGCCUGAAAAAAUGCUCUAUUCUUCAUUCCAACAAAUGGAAAAAGCCUUUUCCCAGGAAUCCGCCUUCCUCCUAAAAACAUGGUCGGUGAUUACAGGUUUAGACAACAUGGUUAUUAAGUUAUUACUGGCUAAUAAAUAACUUUUUUGACUCGUUUUGGAGCCGGAGCUGUCUUACAUGGUCCUUUGCAGAAUGCAUCAAGCGGUGCGGUGUAAGUUCUGAAGGUAUAAGUGAUAAUGCAGAUGAUGUAUACGUAAGUGUAAUUCUAUUUUAUCUGAAUACAAAAAGUACUAUUAGAACACAGAGCAGAUUGUCUUCUUGCACAUUUUAAGCGGUGUAAAGUCAAAGUGAGUGAAUUUCACGGAGAGAUUUUACAAUAACUAACAGGUAUGGAGUUCACUUUCAUUUUGCUUUGAAGAAUACAAGAAAAUAGGGGAACGUGUAACAAUCAUCGAUGAUUUUUGGUUUAAAAUGCAGGUUGCUACUACGCCAGAUUUAAUGUUAGGUUAUCUUUGUUUCUUCCUUGGCAGUGAUGAAAAGAGAACAAAUAUUCCUCCUCCGAUCUAUAAGAGAUUUCCCCUGGCUCUAAUAUUCGGAGGCGAUGGAAGUCACAUGGCCACAUUUUGGAUAUGUGAUUCAAACGCUUUAGAGAGGCUUCAGCAGAUGUGCACAAGAGACGGACUCUGAGUGAUUUCGAUAUUUGGAAGCUUCUUGAAUCAGGAAAAUUUGGCCAUGUCUAUCUAGCGAGAGGAAACGACAAUCACGCUGUGGCUCCAAAAGUUCUGUUCAAGAGCCAACUUCAACAAUCUCAUUUUGAAAAUCAACUUCAGAGGGAAGUGGAAAUAGAGUUUCUUUGGCAUCCCAAUAUAUUGCGGGUUACGGUUAUUUCUACGAUCAGGUUUGCUUAACUCAUUUGGUAUUACUUGGUUGUUAAGAAAAAGUGACCUGACAUGUACGGUAUAUGUUCAAACGGCACUCUUCGGUUCUCAAGGUAUUCUGAUCACUAUCUCUCGUUAUCAUUGUUCUCCACUGUUUUGUUCUACCGUUGAAAUGUAUUUUCCCGUAUCCCUUUCUUUAGUUUAGGAGUCAUCUGUUAUACGUUCCAAUGGUAAUCUUCGGGUACAUGGACAUGGUCUAUUGAAUCAGGCAGGUGGUAGAGACAUUUUCGAAGAGCAACAUCUGAUUUUACUUCUCAUUUACAACAUCCACUAGGCAUUACUGUCAGGCGAAGAUUGCCCUGUUGAGCAAAUCCAUCCACCAGAAGAUUGGAAUGUCAAUUUUUCUCGAUCGUUCACUCCCCUAAAGCUUUUUUUUCCAAGUAAUAGUUUCCAAAAGUUAUACGUAUAGACAGUGGUUAUUUGUAUGGGAAUGCUGAUCUUCCAUGUGAAGUGGACACAAUGAUUCUAUUGAUUCAGUUGCUGGUGGGGGAAUCAUAGAUUUCCUGUUGUGCCCAUCCAUCCGCUAGAAGAUUGCAAUGUCAAUUCUUCCCUAUAUGGUUCACUCUCCUGAUAUGCCGAGUUGAAACAGCCCUUUUUUCUUCAUUUCAACAAAUGGAAAAAGUCUUUUUCUUCGUGUGCUAACGUAGACCACCAGACGGUCCGGUAAAAAAAUUAGAAAGCCGGUUAGAAAAUUAGAGAGUAUAAGAAUGGUAGUGAAGAAAUGAGGAAGGGGUAGGUCUAGACUUACUUGGGAACGAGUUAUUAGAAAUGACUUGGAUAUGUUGCACAUAUCAGAGGAUAUGACGGAAACCCGAAAUGAAUGGAAAAGAAGAAUUCAUGCGGCCGAUCCUAAAUAAACUUAGGAUUAAGGCGAUGUUGUGAUAGAACUCUCCGGUUAGGGUACGCUUUAUUACUCAAACAACUCGGUACGUUUUGAUUAUUGAGAGGCCAUCAAACUCUCCCCAACAAGAAACUAACCAAUUCCCCGAUAUCUAUCCCUGUACCCUCUUAUUCUUAUUUAUAAUAAACGACUAACAAAACCCUAGAAGCAUAAAAUAGAAAAUAUAGAACAGAAAAUAUAGAAUGCAAUAUUAUAAAAUAUAGAAAUACCCUAAUACGCCUAAACUUCUUCGGAAAGGCUUAUCAUGUUGUUGUUAUUGUUGUUUUAGUAGUUUACUUGAGAUUGCUUUUAACAACUUUUGAUGCAUAGAACAGGAAAACGUCUAUAGAUGUUCAUUGUAUUUUAGUAGCUUGCUUGAGAUUGCUUUUAACAGCUUUUGAUACAUAGAAAAGGAAAAGGUCUAUAGUUGUUCAUUGUAUGUCUCUAGCGAAGACAUCUCUGAUUGUUUCUGGGACUUGUCUUCUUCUGUAUAUAUUUGUUAUAGUAAUCUUUGUAAUGAUUGGUUCACUUGAUCACCCAUUGUCAGGCUGGUCUACAAGUCUGAGCAUCUUCCUCGGAUUUCCACCAUCCACAGUUAACGAUACCUCAAGUAUAGCACUGGUGGUGGUACACGUAGAAUUGUACUUUAUUCUUGCAUACUCUCGAUAUAGGGAAGUUUGCUUCUCUCUUUAGCUAUUUUCUUGUUUGCAUGCGCUGGUUAUGUCUGUGUCAUUCUAUGUGAUUUGCUAUAAUUGGUUACAGGGCAUGAGCGAGUAUCGACGAAGUUGGUGCUAUAGAAAUGGAACUGAAAAAGCACUCUCACACAAUAUUGCAAAUCAAGAAUUUUCAAACUGAUUCUAUUAUUUUGAUACGAGUCAAGUACACUUCAAUACUUUCUAAGUAAUACUCAACUCUCACCAGUUUCACUCCACUGAGUGAAACCCCUAGUAUCAUAAGAAAGUCUAUUAGUUCCAGACACACUGUAUGUAGUGCACACCACGUGUCACUCUAGACCACGCCUAGAUCUAGUGAGCGGUUCGCUUGUUAUUGAAAGGCUCCCUCUCGUUCUCUCAGAUAACUCUCACAUGUGUUUCCUUUACAAUUUACCCUCACAAAUCUCACGCUCAAUGCUCUGCAAUAGCAAUCUGCUAGACAACCUCACCUCUUCUGAUGCAUGCUCUUCUGUAUAUAUAUAUAUAUCUAUACAUGAUUCUUCACAAUAUGCUCCGAAUAUGUAUUUUGUCUUUUUCUUUCUUACGCUCAAUAUCCCUUUCCUUAAGCUGGUCCUUUUUUUAUUUUCUCUAUCUGUUUGUUCCAAGCUUCCAUUUGUCGAUUUGAACCUUUUAGAUACCGAAUAUGCUUCAACAGGAACUGUGACUAAUGAAGCUUGUCCAAAGUUCUUUUAUUUUCCUUGAUAUGCAUUUACAUUUAGAAAGUUUAUACACUUGGACAUUGUUGACCGGUUGAAAUGCUUAAAUCGAGUGAUGAGAGAGAGACUAAAAACGAUUACUUACAUUGUUGCAGUUUUCUUGGUUACUUUCUUUGGUUAUGUAUGUCUCUGUAUCAUGGUAUGUGAAUUUUGAUAUUACUGAUUACAGGGGAGGAGCGAGCAUGUGCGAAGAUGGUGCUGGAGAAACGGGAGAGCUGUGACCGGUAAACAUUUGAGAAUAGGUAAGUAGAGCUGCGAUCUACUUACAAUUUACUCCUCACAUUCCAAUUGGUUCUGUUUACAUCUCACAUUCCAAGGAUCGAGGUUUUGUUUCUCAAACAGGGAGAAGAUUACAAUUUUCAAUCCAAGUAGGGUUGGGCAUUUAAACCCGUUACCCGCGGGUUUGCGGGUAUCCGGUGUCACGGGUACUCGAAAAACAGGUACUCGACAUCCAAUGAAAACAAAACCGGUAUUAAAAGCUGGAAAACGGGCGUUAUACGGGUUCGGGUUCUAGAUAUUAAAAGAACGGGCACCCUCAGGAAUCCGUAUAUGUAUUAAAAUUAAAAAAGUAUCCUUACAUUUUUAGCGUAAUUUCCAAAAUAUCUCUUUUCACUUUUCUUUUGCGUUGCCGACAUUGUGUUCUUCUUCCUAAAAUUGUAAAGUUGAAAACCAUCCCCUCUCUCUCAGCCCUUUCCCGCAGGUGUUUCGACUUUACUGAUUUGUUGGAUCUUCUUCAAUUAUGGAGAUAAACAAUACUCAGAGAUGCAAUAAAUGUUGUUGUCCCUAUUCCGGUUCAACCAGAUGCUUCUAAUCAAAAUGAAGAGUCUUCUAAGCAAGUUGAAACUGAGGACAGGACUAAGGGAAGAUGGCUGAGAAGUGUUUACUUCAAUGGGGAAUCAACAAAGUUUUUACUGUGACAGUUGAUAAUACAACUUCAAAUGAUGUGGGGAUCAGAAACUUGUAGAGAAAGUUUAAAACUUGGGGAACGAGCAUUCUUGAUGGAGAGUUCUUGCAUAUCACAUGUGGAGUUCAUAUCUUAGGAUUGGUUGUAAAAGAUGGACUCCUUGAGUUGCAUGAAUCUAUUUCCCGGAUUCGAAUGGUUGUUCGUUAUGUGAGAUCCUCGACAAGUAUGGCGAAGAAGUUCAAAGAAUGUUUAGAAGCUCAAAAAGUAUGUACUAAAGCAUGACUUUGUUUAGGCGUGGAAACUAGAUGGAACUCAACGUAUUUGAUGUUGCAAUUGACUUUAAGACUUAGGCAAGGGUUUGAUAUAUUUGGGUCUGAA